rnacentral:rRNA from 1 species
GGUACGGAGUAUGAAAGUUGAAGGAUCCGCUUUCGGUGGAGAGCGUACACAGGUGCUGCAUGGCUGUCGUCAGCUCGUGUCGUGAGAUGUUGGGUUAAGUCCGCAACGAGCGCAACCCCUGCAUUCAGUUGCCAUCGGGUGAAGCCGGGCACUCUGGAAGGACUGCCAUCGACAAGAUGGAGGAAGGUGGGGACGACGUCAAGUCAUCAUGGCCCUUAUGUCCAGGGCGACACACGUGCUACAAUGGCCGGCACAACGGGAAGCGAGUUCGCGAGGACGAGCGGAUCCCUUAAAGCCGGUCGCAGUUCGGAUUGAAGUCUGCAACUCGACUUCAUGAAGCUGGAAUCGCUAGUAAUCGCAGAUCAGCCAAGCUGCGGUGAAUACGUUCCCGGGCCUU